AUGGAAAUCCCACCAACUCACUACCCAGCCUCCAGGGCGGCCUCAGUGUUGGAGAACUGCGUCAACUACCAGCAAGGGACCACCCCCCCCCCCACAAGCUGUUCCUGCUGCAGACAGUGAAGCAAGCUAGCAUGGAGGAUAUUCCAGGAAGAGGGCACAAGUAUCCGUGGAAGAAAUUAAAUUUUCCGUGGAAGAAAUUAUCCAAAAACAAGUUACAGUGAACAGCACUGCUGACAUACUUUACCCUCCCAUGGGUCAAGAAACUGCACCAGAAGUCAUCUUCACAUUGGAAGGAGAUCGUAACAAGAACCCCGAUGAAGAAGACAACACAUUUUAUCAAAGACUCAAGUCCACGAAGGAACCUCUAGAAGCCCCAAAUAUUCCACAGUUUUGGAAAUAUGUCUUUAGAAAUGAAGCCAGUUCCACGCUUAGCCUGGGUUGCCUGUGGUUGUAUAAUAUGCCGGAAUUCUACUGAAAACACAUGGUAUAAAAUGGUAAAAAUUGAAACUGUCAAGCAAGUGCAAAGAAAAGAUGACUUUAUUGAAUUAGACUAUACCAUUUUACUUCAUGACAUAGCCUCUCAGGAGAUUAUUCCCUGGCAAAUGCAAGUUCUGUGGCAUCCACAUUAUGGCACCAAAGUAAAACAUAAUAGCCGUCUGCCAAAGGAAACACAGCUGGAAUAAACCACGCAGCUGACACUGGGAUGAAGUGCAAACAUGCCCAUUCACUAUAUGUGUGCCAGUCUCAACUAGGAGCUAGUUUAAGGGGCCAAACAAAUCCCAAGGAGUCACUUUGUAGAAAUGUCUUGAUUACAGCAUAGAACUACAUAGAUUCCAUAAUACAAAGUGCCACUACAUAACAAUGUCUUUAUAGUAGUAAUAGUGCUAUGUAUAUUCCAUAAUAAAAAGUUUCAAUUUCAGC